rnacentral:lncRNA from 1 species
AGAUGUGUCAUCUUAGCAUGACUGAUGCGUUUGGAAAGGAUGAGUUUGUUCACUACGACGAUGGUGGCGAUGGUGGUGAGGAUAAAUGGUUUUGGAACUGCGAUUAUCGGAUUGUCGACCUCGACUUGGAGAGAGGGCUUGUUUUCCUCCAUGACCAGAAGGCAAAUAAGCUUCUUUCAUACAAUAUCAGUGGGGGGAAACUCAACGAGAUACAAGACGCCUUUGGGUGGGAUCGAUACUAUGUCUAUGUACCAUGCUACUCAGAGCUUCCAGCGCAAGAACCUUCGGUUCAGUGAAUGUCAAAUUCUAUUCAAUGCGCAUCUGUGGAUGUUCUGCUGCGAUAUGCUGAACCACCUUGUAUAUCACGCUAGCUAGUCGGAGUCAUCCGUGUGACCAGUCCAGGAACCCUGCCAUUUUUACUUUGUCGAUGCAGAGUUACGUUCCUGUACUAACCUAAAACUCUUCACCAUGUUCCUAGUUAAAUACCUUGUUUAAGUUUGCUAUAUAUCUUUUAUGUAAGAUUUGAUGUGCUGUUCGUUUGGCUCUGUUUGUGGUUGCGGUGGUUUUAAACCAGUACUUUCUUAUUUCUGUUUGAGAAUAGAUAUAACUGAUUUUGUUGCAUGAAUUGAAUUGGCAUUACAAUCCUACAUUACACCUGGACCUAUACAAACUUGGAGAAGAAUACCUCCAGGUGACCAAAACCAGCAAAUAUAUUGCUUUAGAGAAGUGUAGUGAGACAUGAUAUUAAUCCUAUGGACCUUGAGAACUAUGGCAUCUGCAUUGCAAAACGAUUUGGGGUAUCUUCCCCAUGUUGCGCAAAUGGUACCAGGGAUAUUUCCCUAUCAUGAGAGGGGAUCCCAUGGGCAGAGUAAAAUCAACCCUAGGCCUUGUUUGGUUGUAGUGAAACUAAUCUCCUAGUGGAACUAACCCACCUAGGGAUUAGGUUGACCCCUUCUUGUCACCCAAACCCUGCAAUACCAAUUAAUAUCUCGUUUGGUUCUAGACCCGGACGCAACAAUGGAGAUGAGCAGCCGCAGCGACUCAAGGGGAAGAGAGGGAGCAGCCUAGAGACGUGCCUCAUGUGGAUCGGUUCCACGGAUCAUAGGCUAUUAUUUUGCGUCCCGUGGAUUGAAGGAGAUCAACGCGGUUUGGGCUGGGAAGUUCCCCGCCAUGGCCCAAACCAAACACGUCAACUGGGAUCCACAGGGAACAGUUCCCCAUCAGAAUGAACCACGUGGAUCGUGCUUCCAUCCCGGACAAUCCAUGUGGAUUGUAUCCUAACCAAACAAGGCCCUAGGGGUUUGCUACCCUGGGUUUUCCCUCCCCAGCAAUCAAAUGAGCCCUAAGGGGCAACAAAUAUUUUUCUUCUUCAGUUAGUAGAGUUUUUCUUAAUCGGUACUCUUGCAUGUAUAUACAUAUACUUUCAGGGUUUACUUGCAAAGAGAUAAUUUUGCAUGACUUUCAGGGCAGUACUUAGUAAUUUUUUCUCAGUUUUCUCUCCGCAACUUCUGCCGCUGGCACCACUCCUUGGUGUCGUGCCGUUCUCCUUUUAUGUAAAAUCUAGAGAUUUACUUGCUGAAAUUUGAACGUGCGUACAGUUGGUACCAAUGAUAUGAAGAAAAGUUCAUUGCUCCUCCGCAAAAAAAGAAGUUCAUUGCUCCUUCCAGAACAUAUGAUUAAGAAAGAUGAACUGUUUAGUACUCCCUCUGAUCUAAACGCUCUUAUAUUUCCUUACGGAGGGAGUAAUACAACAUAUAAAAUAAAAUCAUUGAAGCACAAGGUAAAAAAAAAACUGUUGAAUCACGCAAUACUGGUUCAAUUAUCUCCUUUUCUUUUCCCACUCCAAAGUCGGCUCACCAGCAAUUGAUACCUCAGAGCAACGAAGCCAGAGAAACCUUUCAUAGACGGAUCACUUUGUUAUCCGUGAGGUGAGAUUGUUGUGUGAGAAAUACAUUGGAGGCUCAUGUGUAUAUUCAAGGUUCGACUUGCGCGUUCUGGAGAAAUGUCCAAGGAGAUAAAUGUCACCAUUAAAACCACCUGCUGGAAAAUAGAUGAUCCCAAAAUGACAAUGACACAGAAAUUGUGACAUAACUUAGGAGUACAUUAUUGUUUAAAACAAUAAAUCAAAUUUCAUUUACUAAAGAGCUGCAGAUUGUUGGCAUGACAAUGUAACUACAAGUACUGGUUCAAACAAGAAUUCUUUUGUGGAACUGAUUCCAACAUGACAGUUUCCCAUUCAAAGCAGCGAGAAAAUUUAAAGUGUCGAAAGUAUUUUUCUGGUCAUUACAUCUUGCAACGCAAAAGAAAAAACAUUCUGUGGGAUUUCCUUUUCUGAUGGUGAGCUCUACUUGCACUGAGUUCUUCUCCAUCGGAGUGUGGGACAGUUCUGAAAGAAGGAAUACACCAUCAGCACAAAAAUUUAAAAAUAAAAUAUAGUAAUGAACCAUAUGGGUACAGAACCUUCCCCCGCAAACAAAAAAAAAGGGUACAGAACCUUCCCCCGCAAAGAAAAAAAAGGGUACAAAACCUUAUGCUCUAACCAGGACAUGGAAAAUAGUGAUUGGAUUAAGAUCAAGAAACAUGCGUGAGUGCUGCUUGAUCCAUCAAAUGAGAAGACAGCUGCAUGUACGCUGACAAGUACUAACCUGCUACCAGUUAUAGAGAUUAUCACUGAGGUAAUCCGACUCAAUGGAUAGGUAGGACAAACAGAUGGAUCGCUAGCUAUCUCAUCACAUACGACAAUUCAAAUUACUAUUACGCCUCUGAAAUUGUAGCAAACAAAACAUUUGUACAAUUAAUUGCUAUGUUGAAAACUUUAGCAACAACAGAAACCUAUCUGGCUAUCUACUAUCCCGUUUCUCUGUAUGCAAACAUGGUAGAACUACUACUGUUUCAAUGAAGCAUACAGUUUAACACUACCCACACCAACAUCAAAUAACAAAACAUAGAGAAAUAUUUCUUGGAUAAUCAUGGACAAAGUUAAAUGAUGUGCAGAAGUAGACAUCAAAAUCUUCUAUAAAUUUGGCAAAAUCCUAACUUGCGCAAGCUGCAUACAAAGACUAAUUGGGCUGAAUGCUUACUGAACAAAGUUUUCGAUGUAAACGAAGUUCUGGUAAGUGGUAACAUACAAAAUGAAGCCUUCUCCACUUAACAAAGGGACAACCACCUGCAGCUACUUCAGGAGUUCCAUAUUUCCAGUUCUAGUGAAUUCAAUGGCGCCUUCUAAUCCACCUCAAUUCCUUAAGAACUAAAUUCACAUCUAAGUGGCAUUGUUCAUCCAAGAUUGAGCAAGAGCAUGGGAAGGGGACGACCACCUUCUACUAUUUUCGGAUUGCACGAGGUAAAAAGUUCAGAUCUGAAGAGGAGACACUCGAGGUAGUCCUCAUGUGUGUACUGAAGCGGAGAGACGUAAGCACACUGCAACGAUGUGAGGCUGGCAAUGGUCUCUCGUCCCACUAAGAGUGUGAUUUGAUCAGUAAUGAAACGUUGAGCAGCAGAGGACAAACGAAUGAGCAGAGCAGGUAAAGGUCACAACUUGAUUCCUAAAACCCUUUACUCUGGCAGGGCAGUAGCAACAGAGGAGAACAGAGGACACCAGAACCGGAAUGGAGAGGAAUGCACAACACACCUCUACGAGAGCAGGAUGGAUUCGUCAACCAAAUCAUCCUAUACUGGAGGAGGGCCUUAUGGCAAGCGAUCCCCUCUGGUACAUCUGGCCGCUCUAUCCACCCUGCCGAGGACACUGACAGUUUUUGGCACCGUCAAAGUUCAAGGAAAACUAAUCCUCCACUGCUACCAAUGACAUUCUUCAGGGGCACUCCGAAGCUCAGAUACUUCCAAUUCAGUGGCAACAGAAGUUCUAUCCUAAGCUGAACAUGGCAAACAGUGUUCCUAUUAACAAGAAGCAUGGUCAAGUUAAACCACAGCAUUAACUCCGAAGAACGGCAAUCGGAAAUUAUCCGACAGUGAAGAUAUUACAGACCUCAGUUUGGGGAUCUGGAGAAUGAUCAAAGAUCUGGUUAGGGCUCGCGAUCUUGGACUUAUUCCUGUGGGCCGGUGAGAGAAAUAUUCUAUAUUGGUGGACAAGCACGUCGGCCCUCACUGCUGCAAAACAGAAGGCGAUGGCCUUCCUGACCAUGCUUGUGACCUGGACUAUUUGGAAUGAGAGAAACACCCGUGUUUUCCAGAAGAAAUCAACGACGGCUUAUUACAUCAUGCAAAUCAUCAAGGAGGAGGCCGAUAUUUGGGUCGUCACGGAUGCGAGACAUUUGAGUAUUUUGAUGCCGCGAGAGUAAAAACCUUGUUGUCCUGAGACUGUUGCUGUAAUACUCCUUCUCCUUCGAGCAUUAACUCCGUAAGCUCUCUUCUCAAUUAAUGGAUGAGGCAAAUCUUUUGCCUCUGCUUAAAAAAAACUGCCAGAUAACUUUCCUUGGUAUUUAGAUGAUGUUAUUCAUAGCUCUCUCUACUGGUGGAUGUUUCCAUGUCCAGGGGUUCAAUACAGUAGGCCAUGAUCACAAAUGAUGUCCGAACAAAUCUGGAACUGUCAAUGUACACAAGUUUAAACAAUGGAAAAGCAUUUGUUAAUUACAACUACACCUCUAAAACUGUAGCAAAUAAAUCAUUAUAUCAGUUAGCAACUAAAUAAACCUGCUAUCCUUUUUCUAAUGCAACUAUUCCUAUGCAAACAUUGUGGAACAACUACUGUUUUAGUGAAUCUUGCAACAUAACCAUGGACAUAAUGAAAUGAUUGGUAAUUGAAUGAAGCGUUGGACUAGACAUCAAAUUCUGCCACAAAAUGGCUAAAUACAAACUUGUACAAGGUGCAACAUCAACAGUAACUCUUGCUGAAGCUUGGGUAGCUAUGCGACUGAACCAAGUUUUCUAUGUAACCAUAGUUGCAGCAACAAACAUAAUUUAGCAUUUUUUAACUUACCUAAGAAACAACCACCUACAGCUACUUCAAAGUGUUCAAAUUUCCACUUCAUCAAAUGCAUUAUCGUGUAGGGUUUGGUACCCUGAUCCUAGGUUCAGUAGAUAACCAAACCCUAAUAUCUAUCGCCAAGUUUGAAGUGCCCUAAACUAUAUCUCCAACCCACAACAUAUGUACAAGAGCAAGACACUCUUGUCAAGUAAAUGUUUUGGUAACUUCUUCCCUACCACCUACGGUGGCAUUGGUGCCAUGCGGACUUAUGCGAUAUCUCGCAGCAAUUCUUGCAAAUACCUUUACCUACACCGUGAGGAAAAUAGUUGAAUCUUCGAUGAAGUAAAGCAGAGAGAUAUCAUAAAAGAAACUCUUUUUUCACCUGUAUGCAACAAGCUUCACCAGUGCAACUGACAGCGGCAUAGAGUAUAGCAGACCCCAGCAUAAGCUCGUAUAUCCACAAAUUGAACUGCAUCCGCAAUCUUAAACAUCCGUUCUUCAGAGACACAUUUGCCCUGACAUAUAAAACAAAUUUCUCAAAUUAACAGUACAACCAGCAUUGCACACAUAGCAGAUACUCCCUCCAUCCCAAAAUUCUUGUCUUAGAUUUGUCUAAAUACGGAUGUAUCAAGUCACGUUUUAGUAUUAGGUACAUCCGUAUCUAGACAAAUCUAAGACAAGAAUUUUGGGACGGAGGGAGUAACUGACAAUCACAUUGCUAAAAAUGCACCCAUACGAAGGAAAGUGACUGUUUUAGAGAGGCUACAAAAACUCAAGUGGCUGGUACCAAUGUACAUACAAGAAAAUAUUGUAUUAGUACUUACUGUGCUUCUUGGGGAAGAUUAUAUGUGUAUACCUUCCCUAAUAGCCAUCAGAAGAAAUUAUCCCCAAAAAUUUCAACCAGCAUGACUACUUGGUCUACCUUUCCGCACCCAACAAAGAUUAAAAGAUUCAUAUUUCACAUUCUCGUCAUUUUGACACACAUCAAAAUGAACUCAAUGCUACAAGCUGGCCAUUUGGAUUUCUUAUACUCGCAUCAGGGCUUUAUGCAAGAAAAAACUUAAUUGUGCUUUCUUAGGAGUUAGUCUGAUAUGCAAUGUGUCACUUAGUCAACCAAAUCCAUCAAAAAACUGAUACUUUGCAGGGAGAAAUUUCACAUCCUCCUUAUAUUUCCCUUUCCUUGAAAAGAGAGACAACAUCAGUGAAGUAGUUGAAGCUUCAAGUAACAUGUUCUUCCCGUCAAGUUUCGACAAAUAAAGUCCGGCCAUGGUGAUCUCACCUUUUUCCAGCAAAAUUCUGAUAAUACUAUUUAUAAGACGAGAGCAGGGAGCUAUACCAUUCCUGUCCAUUGCUGAGAACAUAUUGUUAGCAUCUUCCACUGCUCCAUCUUUUAGAAUAUUUAUUAUCAUUACUCCAUAAGUCGAAGCAUUAGGAACCAACCCACUCGCUGAUAUAGCAGCAAACAAAUCUUUAGCUUCCUCUUUUCUUUUAACCUUGUACAUUGCAUUGAUCAUGGUAUUGAUUAUUGAAAUAUUGAACUUCACAUUCAUUGCAACUAAUUUCUGGUACAAGUCGAUCGCUUCUUCUGCACAAUUGUUUCUAGAAAGACCUGCAAGUAUAAUAUUGUAUGUGGAAAUGCUCACUGUUAUUCCGCUUUCGAUCAUCUCAUGGAACAUUUUCCUUGCAGCAACAGUUCUCCCAGCACGAAACAACCCAUCCAGUAUGAUGCCAUAUGUAGCACUGUCAGGUUUUAUUCUCUUACGUGGCAUUUGCCUGAACAGAGUCAAACCAUCAUCGAUCCUUCCAUUUCUAGAAUAGCCAUUAACAAGUGUAUUAUAUGUAACAACAUUAGGCUCAAUGCCAGCUGACACCAUGGCAUCAAGUACUCCAAAUGCUUUAUCCAUCUUGCCGACUAAGCAAUAUCCGUCAAUCAGUGAGUUAAAUGUAAUGACAUCAGGCUUCCCAUCUAUGCUUAUAACCAAUUCAAAGAUAUCUUGUGCAUCCAUAACCCGUCCUUCUUUGCACAAAUAGUUUAUAACUGAAUUGAAGAAAAACAAUGUUGGGACGAGGAAUACCUUUGCUUAUCAUGUCAGAAACUAACUCCUUGGCUUUAACCAAAUCUACAUGCAUACAAAACCCCUGAAUUAGGGAGUGAUAAACAGUUGUGCCCGGCUGAACACCCAUAUCAAUCAUCUCAUUGAACUUGUCCAUAGCAUCGGCCAGCCUACCCAAUCUGCAAAGUGCGGCUAUUACAGUGGAAUAGGUGACUACAUUGGGACUCACUCCUUUUUCCUGCAUUUCGGUAAAUAUGAGCAUAGCUUCAUCCAUCAUUCCACGUUUAGCAUAUGCAUCAAUUAAUAUGGUGAAAACAUGGCAGUCUGCUACAAAACCAUUGCUUUCCAUUGAAUUGAAGAGAUCAAUCAUAUCAGCAAAGCAUCCCUCAGUGGCAUACCCAUGAAGCAAAAUACGGUACGAGACGGCAUCCGGUUUGUGGCCCUUGGCAGUCAUGGAAUAAAAUAUUUCUGCCGCUUCUUUGCUUCUUCCAUGCUUGCAAAGGGAAGUCAUUAACGAGCUGCAAGUGACUGCAUUUGGUACAAGACCAUGGCUUGUCAUUUUUCUAAACAUUUUAGCAGCCUCUUUCAACUGCCCUGAUGUGGAAUAUCCAUGGAUCAUGCAAUUAUAUGUCACAUUAUUCGGUUGAGCACCACUAUCAACCAUCUGUUGAAGGACUAGCUCUGCCUUGUCCAUUUCUCUGGCCUUGCACAACGCAUCAAUAAUAGAGCUAUACGUGACCACAUUGGGCACAACCCCUUGAUGGAUCAUUUCAUGGAAUAGAUUGCAUGCCUUGCCUGUUUCGCCCUCCUUGAAGAAGCCAUGGAUGACUGUGCUAUACGCCACCACAUUGAGGGAGCAGGCACCUCCUCCUUCUGCCACCAUCUGGAGCAGGUCGAGUGCCCGCUGACUCAUGCUAUUCUCGCAUAAGCUCUUCAGAACAAUGUUGUAUGAGAAGGCAUCAGGCACGCAGCCAAGCUCGGGCAUCCUAUGAAGCAGCAAGUUGAUAGCCUCAUUUGUACGUUUGGCAUAGCAGAGGCACUUGAGGAAGGUGUUGGCGAUGAUCUCAUUUGUCUUCAGGCCUGUCCUGAGGAAGCGUCCGAAUAAGGCAAGCCCUAGGUCCGGGCGACGCGCGCGGCAGCAACAGUCCAUGGGGAUGCCGUAGGUGUGGACUGUGAGAUGCGCCACCCGCGAGCCGGCUUUUUCUGUGCACACGCGGUUGAAGAGAGCGAGGGCGAGGGCAGGGCCAUCUCUGCUGCAGGCUGCGGAGGCGGGCGCACGGGCAAGGGUGGCAAGGAAGCCGUUCAGGGAGCGGCUGGGGACCGGGGUGCCCUGCCGCAGCAAUUCGUCGAACAGGUGGUGUGCUUUUCUUCAGGGCUGAGCGUUCCAGCGCUGACGCGCGCCGUGGCCGCGGCAAAGGCGCCUUCGGGAGACCAGGAACGUGAGGGGGGCGAGAUGGAGGUAGAGGAGGAGCUGCGGCGGAGGAGGUGGAACAUCGGCGUGGUGGAGGAGCGGCGGAGGCGGAGGCGGGACAUCGGCGACGUGGAGGAGUAGUGCGGACUGAGGCAGAGGGCCGGAGAUUGGCUAGUUGGAGGAGAAGGCGGCGUGGCGGAGCCGCGGAGGCCGGAGAUUGCCUAGGUGGAGGAGGAGCGGCGGCGGCGGAUGCAGAUGCGGGACAUCGGCGUGCGCUAGCUCUGGCUCUGCAAUGUGUUCGUACGCAGUGUUCCUUUGUGCUCUGCACUGGGAGAGAUGCAGAUGAGAUGAGUGUGAUUUUUUUUUUAAUAGAACGAGUGCGAUACUUGUAUGGUUUUGCUAAUGGUUGGUCACCUUCUCAGUCGGUGUCAAGAUCAUCGAUUUUGCCGUUGAGAUAUCAAAUUUUGUUGAUACUCCCGCCGUCCCACAAUACGUUAUCCUAAACCUAGUAUAAAGUUGUAUUAAGUUUAAGACAGUUAUUUUGGGAUGGAGGGAAUACAUGUGAUUAACAUGACAACCUACAAUAGGCUUGAUUUUGGUGCAAGUCUCCACAAGUUCAUCUAUAAACAGGAUACUCCUUGGGUUUGGUUCUUGUGGAAUAGAUACUACUCCCUCUGUCCCAAAAUAAUUAGACUCAAUUUUAUACUAACUUUGUACUCUCUUCGUCCGAAAAUACUUGUCGGAGAAAUAGAUGUGUCUAGAUGUAUUUUAGUUCUAGAUACAUCUAUUUUUUAGACAAGUAUUUCCGGACGGAGGAAGUAUUAAACUUAGUACAAAGUUGAGUCACUUAUUUUGAAACGGAGCGAAUAUUUGCAUGGCGCUCCCUCACACCCAACCACAUUGUGAUUCCUUUUGGUGGCGUGACAUUUUAUCUCUGAUGGACAUUUAUCGUGAUAUUACUUCUUACAUUGUUGGGGCCGGUGAGAUGGCUCUAUUUUGGAAAGAUGUGUGUUCUGGUCUAAGUCCACUACAAGAUCAAUUUGCGUGACUUUUCUCUUUCGUGGGUGAGGAGAAAAUUUCCAUGCAAGAUUACCUUGUUGAUGAUAGCCCUGCCCACGCCCGAAUAUUCGAUUCAACACCCAGGCUCAAAUGCUCCCUAAAUCAACACCAUUAAAAUGCAUAUGGAUCUGUGCCAGCAGCUGUAUUUCACCAACGUAUAUCACGAGUAUUUAGGCUGGUCAUAGUGGGAGUAAUAUAAGUAGUAUCUGUUAGGUUGAUCUUUCUCUAGUUCGAACCCAAUGGGUCGAACAGGCCCCUGACUCGCGCCCUGAUCGGGGGCGCCCAACCAAACCAUGGUUGGUGGGCUCCUGUGACCCGCGCUAUAUAAAUAGAUAUGGGGGCCGGGGCACGACUUACGAGGUUAAUCGCUGCCACAAUCCCCACCUACAAUCCCUACCGAUCUAGGGUUAGCCGGUGCUCACGGGAAGCACACCACCGCCGCCAUCUCACUGCCAUCACCGCCGCCACAACAUCACCAUGGCUGCUGGUUCGAGCUCGCAAGGCAAGGCAGAAGGUAGGUUUACCGGAUCGAUCUAACCUAUCCGAUCCAAAGUGAAUCUAUCAAUGGUAUCAGCCAGAUCGGGUUAGACCUUUUCGGUAGAAAGAAAUCACAGUAAAAGUAAAUCCCUCCCCAAAGAACCCUAAAAAGACAGGGCAAAGUAAACCAGAGAAGGCCUUGGGCCGCCGGCAAAGUGCGCCACCACUCCGGUCGCGCCUGUUCCUCUCGAUCCCCACACGCAUCGGCAAGCCGAGGUGCGGGGACGAAGAACCACCCCGCUAGGGGCAAAGUGCACCGCGGCCGAUCCGUUCGACGGCGGCGCGCUCACCACAGAGGGGAACGUGCAGCCGGCGAAGGGAAUGGCAACGACGCCACCGUCGAGCUCCUCUCUAUCUCUCUCACUGCUGGGUAGUGGUGGAAGAGAGAAAAAGAAAAGAACGUAAAGGAAGAGCCUCGCCGCGCCGGGAAGCCUCGCCGUCGGCGGCUGGUCGGCGGCCAGAGGGAACCACGGGCGCACAGGGGAGCAGAGGAGGCCCCGCCGCGUCGCUCUCUCUCUCUAUCGCACGAAGAAGAGGGUGAAGAGGGAAGAAAGGACGAGAAGGAGAGGCUCGCGCGGCACGGUGGCAUCCGCCGUCGUCACCGGCGGCCGGGGCGAAGCCCGUCUCUCCGCCGUCAGUGGAGUGCGCGAGAGAGGCGCGGGGGCUGGGGAGGAAUGAACUAGGGUUUCCCCGCUAGCGCUGUGAACCUCUGUUUCGUUCGAGCGAAACGGGUGCCCUGCCGUCGGAUCUCCACGGACGGUGCAGAUCGAAAACCUAGCUCGGCGCUGGGCUUGUCGGGCCGAAAGAGGAGCUGGGCGCAGCCACGUGCUGGGCCUCAGCCAGCUGCCGCGGGCGCAACCGCGCAGGCACUGGGCCGAGGCUGCAGCUGCGGGCGGCCCAGGCCGGGUCGAGGCGGCUCGGCUCGCGCGAGCGUGCGGGNNNNNNNNNNNNNNNNNNNNNNNNNNNNNNNNNNNNNNNNNNNNNNNNNNNNNNNNNNNNNNNNNNNNNNNNNNNNNNNNNNNNNNNNNNNNNNNNNNNNNNNNNNNNNNNNNNNNNNNNNNNNNNNNNNNNNNNNNNNNNNNNNNNNNNNNNNNNNNNNNNNNNNNNNNNNNNNNNNNNNNNNNNNNNNNNNNNNNNNNNNNNNNNNNNNNNNNNNNNNNNNNNNNNNNNNNNNNNNNNNNNNNNNNNNNNNNNNNNNNNNNNNNNNNNNNNNNNNNNNNNNNNNNNNNNNNNNNNNNNNNNNNNNNNNNNNNNNNNNNNNNNNGUUCAAAUUAAUCCAAAGAUUUUUUGUUCCAGAAAAAGAAAUUGUCAUGAAUUUUAUAAAGAAAAUUAAUAAAGUUCAUGAUUUUAUAUUCGGUCAUAGAAAAGUUUCUGUAAAAAGUAAAAGUUCGUGAAUUUUUAUUCAUGUUUUUCCGCUGCGUAAAUAAUUAAUGCUCUUUUACAAAGAAAAUAAAAGUUUACAUAGUAUUAAGUUUUUAAGAGCAUGUUAAAGUGAUUAUUAAAAUGAAUAUGAUUAUGUUAUUUUUUAUGACCAACGUUGUUAAUAACAUGAUCAUGUUUUAUUAUUGAAAUUUAAAGGUGCAUUUAUUUCUAAUUUUUUGCCCAACGGUAAUAUAGAUUUAAUUGCAUAUACAAUUGUAUGUUUAAUUUGACCAACGUUAGAUUAAUGCAUAUGAUUGUUAUACUGAUGUCACUUAAAUUGUGAUUUCAGGAGGCUUUCACUUGAUGAGUUGCCUAAAAGAUGUUCCGACACUCAGAAGUGACAAUCACACUGAGUGGAGGAAGAAAGUUGAACUGGCAUUUGUGUGUGCUGAUCUGGACUGGGUUCUGGAUGAACCACAGCCGAUCAGACCUACAGAGCCAGUAAGAGAGGCCACUGAUGAUGAUGAUGCUUGGGCUAAAAGAAGGGGGACCAUGCUCCUUUGGAGAUGUCCUACAUCAUAGAAAACCAAAAGUGGUCAAUGCAAACAAAAAGUGCAUGGCAUUUAUAAAGAAUACAAUUGAGAGCACCAUUGUGGGCUCCAUUGCAGAGUGCACUUCCGCAGGGGAGUUGCUUACAAAGAUAAAGAACCAGUUCACUGGCUCCUCAAAGAUAUAUGCCACCCAGGUGUUAGAGCAACUGGUGACAGAACGCUACACGGGUGGUAGUUGAAAGGAUCGAUAUAGUUGACUAGAGGGGGGGUGAAUAGGCAACUAACACUUUUUAGCUUUUCUUUACCAAUUUAAACUUUGCAUCAAAGUAGGUUGUCUAGAUAUGCAACUAGGUGAGCAACCUAUAUGAUGCAACAACAAUAAGCAUACACGCAAGCAAGAGAUAAGGCACAAAUAAGCUUGCACAAGUAAAGGCACGAGAUAACCAAGAGUGGAGCCGGUGAAGACGAGGAUGUGUUACCGAAGUUCCUUCCCUUUGAGAGGAAGUACGUCUCCGUUGGAGCGGUGUGGAGGCACAAUGCUCCCCAAGAAGCCACUAGGGCCACCGUAUUCUGCUCACGCCCUCACACAAUGCGAGAUACCGUGAUUCCACUAUUGGUGCCCUUGGAGGCGGCGACCGAACCUUUACAAACAAGGUUGGGGCAAUCUCCACAACUUAAUUGGAGGCUCCCAACGAUACCACGAAGCUUCACCACAAUGGACUAUGGCUCCACGGUGACCUCAACCGUCUAGGGUGCUCAAACACCCAAGAGUAACAAGAUCCACAAGGGAUUAGUGGGGGGAUUCAAAUAUCUCUUGGUGGAAGUGUAGAUCGGGGCCUCCUCAACCAAUCCCUAGAGAAUCAACAAGUUUGAUUGGCUAGGGAAGGAGAUCGGGCGAAAAUGGAGCUUGAAGCAACAAUGGAGCUUGGAGGUGGAAGAGGUAGUCAACUAGAGGAGGAAGACACCCCUUAUAUAGUGGAAGAACAAAUCCAACCGUUAUCCACCAACUCAGCCUACGCAGCGCGGUACUACCGCACUUGAGGCGCGGUACUACCGCAGGGGCACGCGGUACUACCGCGGAGCCCCGCGGUACUACCGCCCACGCAGCAGAGACCAGAACAGCCACACAUGCCCUAAGGCAGAGGGCGGUAGUACUCCUGGCGCGGUACUACCGCUCUCCCUUGCGGUACUACCGCAAGGCAGGGGCUGUCCAGGGAUGGGAAGGCACGGAUAUAAAAAAUUACAUCCGUGGCUACUUCUGUAGAGUUGGAGUCGAUGGAAAAACCCGACGCGGUAGUACCGUAAGCCAGCCGCGGUACUACCGCGCGAGGCGCGGAUGUAAAAAAUUACAUCCGCCCCUUACUGCCGCGUACUUGCGGAACUAAGCAGGGACCACGGUACUACCGCUUACUAGAAGCGGUACUACCGUGGGUCCUUGCGGUACUACCGCACCAGCGGGCGGUACUACCGCAAGGUCCUGCGGUACUACCGCUCUGACGAGCAGUACUACCGCACCCCCUAGUUCGGCAAACAAGAGCUAUAUUUGCAUAGACAAGGAAAACAUAGGAUGCUCCAAAGGCAAGAGGAAAGGAGGUGCAAGGGACGAUGUGUACGUGAUGAAUCUACCCAACCUUUCCAACGCGGACCCCCUCUUAAUAGUAUGGCUUCCCUAUGACUCAAUAGCACCGAAAAGAACCGAAGAGAAACGUCGUCUUCUAUAGCCUUCGAGGGAAACCCAAUCAUCUUGUGCCUAGUCAAUAUAUCUGAAAUAUUCGAUGCACAUGAUUAGUCCGCAAAAGCAUUGUCAUCAAUCACCAAAACCAACUAAGGGAUAAAAAUGCCCUUACAAUCUCCCCCUUUUUGGUGGAUUGAUGACAACACGGGAUUUGCACGAGGGUAUAACGCAAAGAGCAAGGGCAAACCCCAAGUCUCUAAAAUAUAGACGGGCUCCCCCUAGAUGUGUGCUAUCUCGAUGAGUGCUUUGGACUGCACAGCACACAUACUAGGAUCAACACUCCCCCUAUAUUUUAUAGACAUGGCAAAUCUUGCAAUAAGGCUAAAGCUAAGCAAGAUAGACAGGAGCAAAAUGUAAUAAGCACAAGAUAGAAUAAGCUCACUACAAUACGAUAGAGUGCAUAUGUCUUACACCGUAUGAUAGAAGGUCUCACGAGCACAAACCAAAGCAAACCAAAGCAAACGAAAUAAACGAAGUUCAACUGACCCAAACACGACACAACUCGCAAAUCCUACACUCUCUCCCCCUUUGGCAUCGAGACGCCAAAAAGGCAGAGAGGACACCUACAGCAAUAGUGGUGGCUCAAGCGAAGUAGUCACUUGCACACUCCUCGUCAGACUCUGCAGCUGGGACGGACUCCUCCUCAGACUCGGUCCACCGAUAGCCCUGCUUGUGCAGCCAUUCUGCCUCUGGGGUGAUGUUCACCUCUGACCCGCUAGAUAUGUUCUCGCCAAAGGUCCUGAAAAUCCGCUUGUCGCGGCGGCGAGUCUCCUUGGAAGCCACAUGGGUCUGGUACUGCCCCUUUGCUUGCAUACAGAACAACAUCUUCAUCUUGUUCUUCAGUCGCUUAGCCGAAGAAGGCUCAGAGGUGGGAGGGAUGUAACCCUCAGAGCUGUCCUCGUCUGCUGCCUCCUCCUCAUCCUCAUCUGCAUCCACGUCCAUGGCAGCCGCAGUAUCAGCACGAGAGGUAGUGUUGGCCCACUGAGGCUUGAUACGGAGGUUGAUGGGCUCAUGCCGGAUCCAACCAGGGGCCUCAAACUCAUCCUGAGGGUAGACCCGCUCCCAAGUAGCCAAGAUCAACUGAAACAAAUAAGGUCCAUAGAUGGGGACCUUGCGGUUGUAGACCGCAAACCGAAGCUCAUGCCACAUGAUAUGUGAGACAUCAAGUGGCUGUGUCUGAGAGUUGCGAGCAUCUUCACACAAGAGCAUCAUAUCCACCAGAUAGGCAUGCACCUUGUCCUUGUCCCCAAUGCAUGGGAAGAGAGUGUUGCGGAAGAUCCGGUGCAUGAUGUCAAGAAAGGAGUUGAGUACCCAAGAUGACUUGCCAUUGGAGAGCUUCUUCUCCACAUGGUAGGGCAUGAGCUUGUUCUUAUUGGCAGACUCGGGAUUGGCAUGAGGGCGAACACCUUGGGGUGUGGCGAGCCCCUCAUCCGGAACCCCAAGCAAGGUCAUGAAUUCCUUCCAAGUAGCAGUCAGCUGCCGGCCAUUGGUCAUCCAAGUCAUGGUCCUUUCCUCAUUGGGAUGAAAAUGCACUGAGGCAAAGAACUGAGCAAGGAUCUCAGGAUCAUAGUCUUUGUGGAAUGAGAUGAUAUGCUCAAUGCCAAAUUGCUCCACGAGGUCCAAAGCCUCACCAAAGUAUUCCUGGUGCGCCUCUUUGCGCAUGUGAUGCAUGUUGAUCCACUUCACCUCCACAUGGGUAUUUUGCUUGGCCUUGAUGACAUCCAAAUAAAUGAGAUUCUGCUGCUUGGUCCAGAAUAGAUCAUUCCCUCGAAAGUUAGCACGAGGGUUUCCAUACGGAUUGAUCUUCCUCCGAGCGAUGAACUCAGCAAGCGAUAUCUCAUCCAUACCCUUGGCGGGUUCCUUCUCUUUGGUGGCAGUGGUCUUGGUUCUGCGUUGGGGGCAUUGGAGCCCUCUGCUUCCUCUGUGUUGCGCAUAUGCUUGGAUCCCGUGUCACGGCUUGGAUUGGAGCGGCGAGCCAGAGCACCUGAGCCACCACCUAAACACACACCACAAAACAAACAUGCACGAAAUGCGAGAAGGAUCAAUGCAAAGACCACAACAAAGCAGGAGAAACAAAUAGACAUGGCACGUGAGAAGUGCCACAAGAGGAAUUUGAGACAACGGUAGUAAUGUGUGUUGCGCCACGUGCGGUAGUACCGCUCCAAGAAGCGGUAGUACCGGACGUGCGGUAGUACCGCACCAGCAGGGCGGUAGUACCGGACGUGUGGUAGUACCGCACGGUUGCAGAUCCGAAAUAGCCAUGGAGAUCUGAGCACAACCGUGUCAACACGCGGUACUACGGUCGAUCAAAUCCAUCACGGGACAACUAUAGCAAGUACCAACACUACACAAAACUACUCUCCUACAUCCUACUCUUGCAUAGAUUUGGCCUAAAAUCUCAAGAACAACUUGCAUCUCCCCAAAACCUAAAAGCAACAAGACGAACAAUAAAAAGAGAGGUGGGGAAGAAACUUUGUUCCAUGGCAAGAGGGAGUGGUGGGGAACGAUCCCACCGGUCGGAAUCCGAGGAGAGCGGCCGGAGACGGAGAUCCGGCGAGGACCUCCGGCGCCGUUCUUGAGUGAGAGAGAGAGAGAGAGACGAAGUGGGGAGAGAGACGAAUGGGUAUGGGGGAGUUAGAACUCCCCCUGCCCGUGUUUAACCCCCACGCGCCCUUGACCGCACGGUAGUACCGCAUGUCAUCGCGGUACUACCGCCCCGGGCGGAAGUACCGCACCGUGACUUUAGUACCGCUCCUCCAGGCGGCAGUAAAAAAUUACUGCCGCGCUGGGUGCGGAAGUACCGUGCACUCCUCACGCGAUAGUACCGCACGUCAUUGCGGUAGUACCGCUCGGGCGGAAGUACCGCACUGAGGCCAUAGUACCGCUCCCCAGGCGGCAGUAAAAAAUUACUGCCGCGCUGGGUGCGGAAGUACCGCGCGCCCCCCUUGCGGUGGUACCGUGGCAGGUCGCGGUAGUACCGUGGGCUAAAAAAACAGUUUCAACCAAAAGAUAACACCUACGCACGGAACCUUCAAGCGAGAGACCACACCAAAGAACUAACACACUGGACACCACAAGCACGAGCUCGCCACGAAGAAAGAGAGGCAAGAACCAACAUAGACCAAAAACGAGACACAACCUCUCCAAGGAGAGGGCGGUGGCCGGAGCCACCUAUGUUUGAGUCAAUUGGUAUGGCACCGCGAAGAAUUAUCCUUGGGCCCAUGACCAAAACUCGUCUUUGAAGCACAAGUAACAUCAAAAAUGGCUAAUGUGAAAGAGUUGAUCACUUUAUGCAUAAUGGGGGGAGGGAGAGUUCAUUGAGAGAACAACACCCCCCCUAUGUCCAUGCCUACACCUAGCUUAGACAACAAGUUGAGUGUAGUGGGGUGUGCAAGGGUUCAAGCAACAUUGCUCGAAUCAAUGAUAUUUAGCUCAUGCCUUAACUCGCGAAAUCUUGCUUCAUCCAAAGGCUUCGUGAAAAUAUCUGCAAGGUUAUCAUGGGUGUUGACGUAGUUGAGCUCGAUCUCCCCUCGCCUAAUGUGAUCUCGGGUGAAGUGAUACCGAAUCUCAAUAUGCUUCGUCUUGAAGUGUUGCACGGGUUUGAGAGAAAUCUUGAUGGCACUUUCAUUAUCACACCAAAGAGGCACUUUAUCACAAAUGACACCGUAAUCCUUUAAAGUUUGCCUCAUCCAUAAGAGUUGUGCACAACAACUCCCGGCCGCCACAUACUCCGCUUCGGUGGACGAGAGAGACACACAACUUUGCUUUUUAGAAGACCAACUUACCAAAGAGCAACCAAGGAAUUGGUCCCCUCCGGAAGUGGACUUCCUAUCCACUUUGUCUCCCGCCCAAUCGGAGUCCGAAUAUCCUACAAGCUUGAAGUUUGCUCCUCUUGGGUACCAUAAGCCAAAGUUUGGGGUAUGAGCCAAAUAUUGAAAGAUUCGCUUGACCGCCACAAAGUGGCUUUCCUUAGGUGCGGAUUGAAACCGUGCACAAAUUCCCACACUCAACAUGAUAUCCGGUCUAGAUGCACAAAGGUAAAGCAAGGAACCAAUCAUGGAGCGAUAUACCUUUUGAUCCACCGCUUUACCAUUGGGAUCGAUGUCAAGUUGGCACUUGGUGGGCAUUGGAGUGGACGCCGGCUUGACAUCACUUAGUUUGAAUCUCUUGAGCAUGUCUUGAGUGUAUUUGGCUUAGUUGAUGAAGGUUCCUUCUUUUCUUUGCUUUACUUCGAAACCGAGAAAGAACUUCAACUCUCCCAUGGAAGACAUCUUGAACUUUGAGGUCAUGAGUGCGGCAAAUUCCUCAUUGAAAGCUUUGUUAGGGGAACCAAAGAUAAUGUCAUCAACAUAUAGUUGGCAUACAAACAACUCCCCUUUGACCUUCUUAGUAAAAAGAGUGGGGUCGAUUAGCCCAACUUCAAACCCACGAUCUUGUAACAACUCGGUGUGGUCAUACCACGCACGUGGGGCUUGUUGAAGGCCAUAGAGUGCCUUAUCGAGUUGAUACACAUGAUCGGGAAAGUAGGGAUCCUCGAACCCGGGGGGUUGCUUGACAUAAACCAACUCAUUAAUGGGACCAUUAAGAAAAGCACUCUUCACAUCCAUUUGUUGCAACUUAAAGUUGUGAUGAGAAGCAUAAGCAAUCAACAAACGAAUAGAUUCAAGGCGAGCAACGGGAGCAAAUGUUUCACCGUAGUCGAUACCCUUGACUUGGGAGUAGCCUUGUGCCACUAAUCGUGCCUUGUUGCGAAUGAUGGUCCCAUGAGCAUCUUGCUUGUUCUUGAAUAUCCACUUGGUUCCAAUGACAUUGUGGUUCCCCGUUGGCCUCGGCACUAAUCUCCACACCUUGUUGUACUCGAAGUUGUUGAGUUCUUCAUGCAUGGCAUUAAGCCAAUCCGGAUCUUCGAGUGCUUCAUAUACCUUAUGGGGUUCAACACAAGAGACAAACGCGUGAUGUUCACAAUAGUUUGCCAAUUGUCUACGAGUGCUUACCCCCUUUUGAAUGCUUCCAAGCACAUUCUUCAUGAGAUAACCCUUGGUGGAGAGCUUGGAUGCAAUCUUGGCGGCACGACGCUCCAAUUCCUCCUCGGUGGUGAGUCGAGGAGCGGUCACUUGAUCAUCUUGAGCGCCGUCUUGAGCUUGUUAUUGAUCUUGAACUUGCUCGGAGGAGAGAACUUGACCUUGGGCAUCACUUGGUGUGUCACCACUGUCUUGAGCAUGAUCUUGCCCUUGGUCUUGUUCAUGAGGUUGAGGGCCUUCACUUUGUUCUUCGGAAGCGUGUGGGCCUUGGGUUGGUGAUGGCUCCACUUGAGUGGAGCAUUGUCCUUCUUCUUCGGCCACAAGGGGUUCCUCAAUGGGUAGUAUAAAACCAACACCCAUUCUUCUUAUGGCUUGAGGAGGAAUUUCAUCACCUACAUCACAAGUGCCACUUUGCUCCACUUGGGAGCCGUUAUUCUCAUCAAACUCCACGUUACAUGUCUCCUCAAUAAGUCCCGUGGAUUUAUUGAGGACACGGUAAGCAUGAGAGUUUGUAGCAUAACCAACAAAUAUGCCCUCAUAAGCUCUAGCCUCAAAUUUAGACAACCGAACACCUUUCUUGAGAAUGAAACACUUACACCCGAACACCCGAAAGUACUUGAGGUUGGGCUUGUUACCGGUGAGUAUCUCAUAUGGAGUCUUGUUCAAGCCCUUGCGGAGGUAGAGCCGAUUGGAUGCAUGACACGCGGUGUUGAUGGCUUCGGCCCAAAAGUUGUAUGGAGACUUGAAAUCCGCCAUCAUGGUCCUUGCCGCAUCCAUCAACGUCCGAUUCUUCCUCUCCGCAACACCGUUUUGUUGAGGGGUGUAAGGUGCGGAAUAUUGAUGCUUGAUCCCCUCAUCACUAAGAAACUCAUCCAAGGUGUAGUUCUUGAACUCGGUGCCGUUGUCACUUCUUAUUGUCAAGAUCUUUGUAUUGUGUUGACGUUGGGCUUCAUUCACAAAGUCAAUGACGAUUUGUUGGGUCUCGCUCUUCCUCUUGAAGAAAUACACCCAAGUGUAUCUUGAAUAGUCAUCCACAAUCACCAAGCAAUACUUCCUACCCCCAAGACUAUCAAAGGAUGGAGGCCCAAAGAGAUCCAAAUGAAGGAGCUCCAAAGGCCUCUUUGAGUAAAUGAUAGUUGUGGGAGGGUGAGCCGUCUCAUGUAGCUUUCCUUCGAUACAAGCACUGCAAGCACGAUCUUUAGCAAAACUAACAUUCGUUAGUCCACGGACAUGGUCCCCCUUGAGAAGACUUUGCAAAGAUCUCAUAUUGACAUGGGCUAAACGGCGAUGCCAAAGCCAUCCCACGUCAACUUUAGCCAUUAGGCAUGUCGCGGUCUUAGUGGGUCACUCCGAAAAGUUAAUCACAUAGAGACCGUUCUCGACAUGCCCAACAAAGGCUACUUUAAGAGUCUUGCUCCACAAGAGGGCCACGGUAUCAAUAUCAAAGAAAGUGGCAAAGCCCAUGAUUGCAAGUUGACGAACGGAAAGUAAAUUGUAUGCAAGGGACUCAACAAGCAUGACCUUCUCGAUCAUGAGAUCAUGAGAAAUGACAACUUUGCCGAGUCCCAAUACCUUAGAAGAGGAGGCAUCACCCCACUCGACAUUGGUGGGCAUAGAUGGAAUCUUGUGCAUGUCCACCACCAAGUCCUUGCUUCCGGUCAUAUGAUUUGUAGCUCCACUAUCGAGCAACCAUGAUCCCCCACCAGAAGCAAACACCUACAAGAGAUCAAUGCUUGGUUUUAGGUACCCAUUUUGUAAUGGGUCCUUUGAUGUUAGUAACAAGGGUCUUAGGAACCCAAAUAGACCAUUCAAUAUACUCAUGAGGAGAACCAACAAAUUUGGCAUAAACAUGCCCAUCACUAGCACGGCAUAGCACAUAAGAAGGAUUAAAGUCGCCGGCUUUGUUGGAAGGGGUGGCAUUGCCCUUCUUGACACCGCCACCCUUCGCAUUGUUCUUCUUCUCCUUGGAAGCACCCUCUCCCUCCUUCACAAAAGUUUGCUUGAGAGGAGGAGGUCGUUUGGUCUUGUCAUUCUUCUUCUUGUUCUUGGGCUUGGGUGCGAACCCAAUCCCCUCCUUGGCCACAACUUCCUUUUGAUUGCUCAAAAGGUCGUUGAGGUUCUUCUCACCUUGUAUGCAUGACAUAAGGCCUUUCUCAAGUUGCUCCUUCAACUUAGCAUUCUCCUCAACAAGAUGCACAUGCUCACAACAAUGGUUAGUAGCAUUUGCAUUAUCAAUUAACACCAUAUGAGGAAAGGUGGCUUUCUCCUUAGUUAGCUUCACUUGGAGUUGAUCAUGAGACUCCUUGAGGCUAGCAUGAACACCCUUCAAGACUUUGUGAGCCUUGUCGAGAAUGUCAAACUCCUCUUUGAGUCUAGAAAGAUCAACCCCAAGCUUUGCCUUCUCGGAGUUUAGCACACGAGACACAACAAGAGCAUGAUCAAGAUCUUUAUUUAACUUAGCAUGAUCAUCGUUGUAUGACUCCUCAAGAGCCAAACGAAGACCACACUCUUCGUCAAGAGCAUUGGAAAGAUCCGAAAUCUCAUCGGCAUAGUCACGACUAUGCCCCUCCAUCUUAGAGAUGGUAUCUUCGUGAGCCUCGAUCAUGUCAUUGGCUUCACCAAGUUGUUCCAAGAGAGAAACGAAGUGCUUCUUGGAUUUACCCUUGAGUUUACCCAUAAAGGUCUCAAACUCAUUUUCCUCCACAUUUGUCCCCUCAUGUUCAUCAAUGCUAUCUGUCGAAGAAGGAUGAUUAAUGAUGGUAGUUUUGAUGUUGGGGGUUACCUUGUUGGUGGCUUUAGCCAUGAGGCACUUGGCGGUUAUGUUCUCAUUGGGUGAGUCGAAGAGAGAUAUCCGUGGAGUCAUCGCAAUGGCAACGGAGGCCAUGGCAAUCGACUCACCAUCUUCAUCAUCGUCAUCAUCCUCAUUGUACUCUUCUUGUACGGCCAAUGCCUUGGGAGGAGUCUUCUUGGUGAAGUUGCUCUUGUUGGGGAACGACUUGGCCUUGUCCUUUCGAAUGAGCUUGCCACCAUUGUCUUCCCUCUUCUCGUAAGGGCACUCCGCAACAAAGUGGCUCACAUUGCCACAAUUGAAGCAAGUCCUCACUCGUUGCUUGCCCUUUGCGCCACUUGAAUUGUUCUUGUUGAAGUUUGGCCUUGAGUUCUUCUUGCUCCAAAAUUGCCUUGAAGCAAUAGCCAUGUGUUCAUGAUAGGCAUACUUCGUAUCUUCGAGGUUGCUCUCCUCUUCUUCCUCUUCAUCCUCUUCCUCCAUACUAACCUUGGCCUUUAGAGCAAGGUUGGGCUUCUUUACUCUUUGAGAGCGAAGAACCGCAUUGUCGGCGGUCUUGUCCAAGAUGCUCAUAGCAACGAACUCAUCCAACACUUCUUGAGGACAAGGUGUGGAAGUCCGGCCUUUGACGAAUGACGGAGGACAGGGCUUUGUGGUAGGGCAUCAUUGCCUUGAGGAAUUUGCGCUUGAUCCAAUUGUCAUCCGUGUCCUUACUUCCAUGAUCUCGGAGAGAGACCGCGAGUUUGGUUACUCUCCGAUAAAGCUCAUGAGGUUCUUCAUCUUCUUUCAUUGCAAACUCAUCGGCUUCAUCUUGCCCCACUUCAUAGUUGGAGCGUUGAAUGCUUGUGCUUCCCCGAUAGAGGGAAAUCACUUGUUGCCAAGCAUCUUUGGCAAUGGUGUAGGGCCGGAGAUGAGGAAGAUCUUCGGGUGGGAUUGCUUCUUGGAUGAUGAAGAGAGCAUUCUCAUUGAAUUGAUGGUCCACGACUUCUCUAGGAGUGAAGUUGCUUUGGUCAUGCGGAUAGAAACCUUCUUCAAUGAUUCUCCAAAGGUUAGUGUUCACAUGAUUUAAAUGAUGCUUAAAACGAUAGACCCAAGAAUCAAAUUCUACAUUCUUCUCAAUCUUAGGGGCCGGGCCGGCAUGAUUCAAAUGAGUGGAAGGAAGCGGUCCACCAUAGACAAGUGGAGGUUCCACAUGGGCAAAGAUGCCGGUGCCAUUUUUACCACUAGAAGAAGGAGCUUUCUCGCUAGUAUCUUCCCCCUUGUUGGAGGUAGCAUCCGUCACCUUGUUAGCGGGAUCACCCACUUUCAACGGUGCGGUGGAAAGUUUAAGCCCUUCUAAGAAUUUACUAAAAAUGCUUUCGACCUCGGUCGUCAUGGAGGUUUUCAAUGUGUCCAACGCCACAUUGAAUUCCUCACAAGAGACCGCGGUUCCCCCAUCUCCCAUAGACGAGACCGGAUUCACACCGGAGUGCUCCUCCACACCGUCUACGACGUCAACCAUACUCUUCGGACGGUAAAGUCCUUAAUAAAGAGACGAGGCUCUGAUACCAAUUGAAAGGAUCGAUAUAGUUGACUAGAGGGGGGGUGAAUAGGCAACUAACACUUUUUAGCUUUUCUUUACCAAUUUAAACUUUGCAUCAAAGUAGGUUGUCUAGAUAUGCAACUAGGUGAGCAACCUAUAUGAUGCAACAACAAUAAGCAUACACGCAAGCAAGAGAUAAGGCACAAAUAAGCUUGCACAAGUAAAGGCACGAGAUAACCAAGAGUGGAGCCGGUGAAGACGAGGAUGUGUUACCGAAGUUCCUUCCCUUUGAGAGGAAGUACGUCUCCGUUGGAGCGGUGUGGAGGCACAAUGCUCCCCAAGAAGCCACUAGGACCACCGUAUUCUCCUCACGCCAUCACACAAUGCGAGAUGCCGUGAUUCCACUAUUGGUGCCCUUGGAGGCGGCGACCGAACCUUUACAAACAAGGUUGGGGCAAUCUCCACAACUUAAUUGGAGGCUCCCAAUGAUACCACGAAGCUUCACCACAAUGGACUAUGGCUCCACGGUGACCUCAACCGUCUAGGGUACUCAAACACCCAAGAGUAACAAGAUCCACAAGGGAUUAGUGGGGGGAUUCAAAUAUCUCUUGGUGGAAGUGUAGAUCGGGGCCUCCUCAACCAAUCCCUAGAGAAUCAACAAGUUUGAUUGGCUAGGGAAGGAGAUCGGGCGAAAAUGGAGCUUGGAGCAACAAUGGAGCUUGGAGGUGGAAGAGGUAGUCAACUAGAGGAGGAAGACACCCCUUAUAUAGUGGAAGAACAAAUCCAACCGUUAUCCACCAACUCAGCCUGCGCAGCGCGGUACUACCGCACCUGAGGCGCGGUACUACCGCAGGGGCACGCGGUACUACCGCGGAGCCCCGCGGUACUACCGCCCACGCAACAGAGACCAGAACAGCCACACAUGCCCUAAGGCAGAGGGCGGUAGUACUGCUGGCGUGGUACUACCGCUCCCCUUGCGGUACUACCGCAAGGCAGGGGCUGUCCAGGGAUGGGAAGGCACGGAUAUAGAAAAUUACAUCCGUGGCUACUUCCGCAGAGUUGGAGUCGAUGCAAAAACCCGACGCGGUAGUACCGUAAGCCAGCCGCGGUACUACCGCGCGAGGCGCGGAUGUAAAAAAUUACAUCCGCCCCUUACUGCCGCGUACUUGCGGAACUAAGCAGGGACCACGGUACUACCGCUUACUAGAAGCGGUACUACCGUGGGUCCUUGCGGUACUACCGCACCAGCGGGCGGUACUACCGCAAGGUCCUGCGGUACUACCGCUCUGACGAGCAGUGCUACCGCACCCCUUAGUUCGGCAAACAAGAGCUAUAUUUGCAUAGACAAGGAAAACAUAGGAUGCUCCAAAGGCAAGAGGAAAGGAGGUGCAAGGGACGAUGUGUACGUGAUGAAUCCACCCAACCUUUCCAACGCGGACCCCCUCUUAAUAGUACGGCUUCCCUACGACUCAAUACCACCGAAAAGAACCGAAGAGAAACGCCGUCUUCUAUAGCCUUCGAGGGAAACCCAAUCAUCUUGUGCCUAGUCAAUAUAUCUGAAAUAUUCGAUGCACAUGAUUAGUCCGCAAAAGCAUUGUCAUCAAUCACCAAAACCAACUAAGGGAUAAAAUGCCCUUACAGUAGUCAUGGAUAAGAGAGCACAUCCUCAGGAUGAGCAACAUGGCAGCAAAGCUAAAGCCCAUGGAUGAGGAUCUGGAGAUCAAACCAAAGCUCCUGGUCCACCUAGUCAUGGCUUCACUGCCGAAGGAAUUUGAAGCCUUUGUUGUAAACUACAAUAUGUCACCUGGAACAUGGGACAUUGAAAAGACAAUAGCAAUGUGUGUCCAAGAAGAGGACAGACUCAAAGCCUCACAUGGUGGUUCAAUCAACUAUGUGAAGGAUAAGAAAAAGAAUUACAACCAAAACAGCAAAGGUUCUCCUGCAAAGCCAUAUGGUAAAGCCCCCUAUAAGCAUCAGCGUCAGCAACAGCCUUUCCCAUUGGACAAAGACACUUGUCUCCACUGUAAGAAGACCAGGCAUUACAAGAAAGACUGUCCUGAUUGGCUAAAGUCAAUCAUGGCAAAAAGAGGUAACAAUAUAGUUUCAUUUGUAAAUGAAUCCCUGUAUGCACAGUUUUCAAAAUCCACUUGGUGGAUUGACUCAGGAGCAACUGUUCAUGUUGCAAAUUCUUUACAGGGAUUCCAUUCGACGCGGACUACACUAAGAAGCGAAAGACGCAUUGAAGUGGCAAACGGAGUUGAAGCAGAAGUUGAAGUUGUCGGUGAUAUCUGGAGUUAGCUGAUGGAUUCAAUCUUCUACUUAGAGAUGUUUUAUUUGUUCCAGCAUGUCGUAGAAACUUAAUAAGUGUUUCUUGUUUGGACAAAGAUAAUUAUGAAUGUUAUUUUGGACAUGGCAAGUGUGCCAUUUGGUUAAAUAAUGCUUAUGUGGGUGAUGCUUUACUACAUGAUGAGCUUUAUUUGUUAUCACUUCGUGAAAAAGUUUAUUCCGUUUGCAAUGUGAAAGAAAAUGUUUCCGCGUCGAAUAAAGAACAAAAGAAAAGAAAAGGAACAUUUGACUCAUCGAAAUUAUGGCACUGUCGCUUGGGCCAUAUUUCGAAGGGGAGAAUAGAAGGAUUAGUCAAAAGUGAAAUUCUUCCUCCGUUAGAAUUCUCAGACUUAGAACAAUGCAUAGAUUGCGUUAAAGGAAAGUACGUAAAAUAAAUCAAAAAAAGGUGCAAUCCAUAGCACAGGCACACUAGAAAUCAUCCACACUGACAUUUGUGGACCAUUUCUGGUGAAAAGUGUGGAUGGAUAUGACUCGUUCAUAACAUUCACAAAUGAUUACUCUCGCUAUGGUUAUAUUUAUCCAAUCAAAGAAAGAUCGGAAGCGUUGGAUAAAUUUAAAAUAUUCAAAGCUGAAGUUGAAAAUCAGCAUGAUAAAAGAAUAAAGAUAGUAAGGUCCGACCAUGGGGGAGAGUACUAUGGUCGGCACACUCCAUAUGGCCAAGUCCCUGGACCUUUUGCAAAGUUCUUGCAGGAGACAGGCAUAGUAGCCCAGUAUUCAAUGCCGGGCAAGCCUCAGCAAAAUGGAGUAGCUGAAAGGCGCAACCGUACACUUAUGGAUAUGAUGCGUAGUAUGAUGAGUUAUUCCAACUUUCCAUUGGGAUUAUGGAUGGAGGCGCUUAAAACCGCCAUUCACAUUCUCAAUAGAGUACCAAGCAAGUCGGUGCCCAAAACACCGUACGAGCUAUGGAAAGGAAGGGUGCCAUCCCUACAACACUUCAAGGUGUGGGGGUGCCCUGCUGAGGCCAAAAUGUUUAAUCCAAACAUUGCAAAGUUAGAUCCCAAAACAGUGAGUUGCCACUUCAUUGGCUAUCCAGACAGAUCAAAGGGUUUUCGUUUCUACUGCCCAGACAGAUAUACAAAGUUUGUGGAAACGAGACAUGCAGUCUUCUUAGAGGACGAAAUGAUGAGGGGGAGCUUGGUAACUCGGAAAAUUGAUCUUGAGGAGAAGGGGGUGCAUGCACCUAAUCCGAUGAUUCAGGAGCCAUUUUUCUCACUACCAGUUGCAACUCCACCCAUGACAACUAUGGGGGUAGACCCGGAACCUGUCCGUCAGGAGCCGACUGAACCCGUUGUUGAGCAUGAAAGGGAGAUGCAGCAGCAAAUUUUAGAAGAAGUGCCCGAAGUUGAGGCACAGAAUGUGCCUGAAACCGAGGCCCUUAGAAGGUCUACAAGACCAAGAAAGUCAGCUAUUUCUACUGACUUUAAAGUUUAUAACACAGAAAUGGUUCAUAUGGAAAAAGAUCCCACCUCAUAUGAAGAAGUCAUGAGAAGCCCUCAUUCAUCGAUGUGGAUGAAGGCAAUGGAAGACGAGAUGAAAUCGAUGAGUUCCAAAGAUGUUUGGGACUUAGAGGAAAUUCCUAAAGGAGCCAAAACAGUAGGCUGCAAAUGGGUCUACAAAAUUAAGUAUGACUCUAAAGGGAAUGUAGAAAAGUAUAAAGCACGACUCGUGGCAAAAGGAUUUACACAAGAGAAGGGAUAGAUUACAAUGAGACAUUUUCUCCAGUCUCAUGUAAGGAUUCCUUCAGAAUCAUAAUGGCAUUAGCUGCUCAUUUUGAUUUAGAGUUACAUCAAAUGGAUGUAAAUACGACAUUUCUCAACGGGGAUUUAAAAGAAAAUGUCUACAUGAAAGAACCCAAAGGUUUUAUCAUGGAAGGCAAGGAAAAUAUGGGAUGCCGCCUGAAGAAAUCCAUUUAUGGAUUAAAGCAAGCCUCUAGACAGUGGUAUCUAAAGUUUAAUCAAACGAUUAAAAGUUUUGGAUUUAAAGAAAAUAUUGAGGAUAACUACAUUUAUGCAAAGUUUAAAAAUGGGAAAUAUAUUUUCCUAAUCUUGUGUGUGGAUGAUAUUCUGCUUGCUAGCAGUGAUGUUAGUCUACUACAAGAAACAAAGAAGUUCUUAUCCUCGAAUUUUGACAUAACAGAUCUUGGUGAAGCAUCAUAUGUUUUGGGCAUAGAAAUUCACCGAGAUAGAAACAAUGGAGUCUUAGGACUAUCGCAUAAAGCAUAUUUAGAAAAGGUUCUUAAAAAGUAUAAUAUGCAUGCGAGUAAAGCCACACCUGCUCCUAUAGUUAAGGGCGAUAGUUUUGGGAAAUUCCAAUGUCCCAAGAACCAGUACGAGAUCGAUCAAAUGAAAGCAGUACCAUAUGCUUCGGCAAUUGGCAGCUUAUAGUAUGCACAAGUGUGCACUCGCCCUGACCUAGCUUUUAUCACCGGGGUACUCGGUAGAUAUCAAGAGAAUCCAGGCAUGGAGCACUGGAAGAUGGUAAAGAAAGCAUUGCGUUAUGCACAAGGCACGAAGGACUACAUGCUAAUAUACAGGAGAAGUGAUUCCCUAGAGAUAAAAGGGUAUUCAGGCGCAGAUUUUGCGGGGGACAGAGAUGAUAGAAAAUCCACGUCAGGAUACGUCUUCACUCUCGCUGGGGGAGCUAUUUCGUGGAAAAGCUCCAAACAGUCGAUAGUUGCAUCAUCCACGAUGUAUGCAGAAUUCAUAGCAUGCUUCGAGGCCACGGGGCAGGCGAUAUGGCUAAAGAAAUUUGUACCCGACUUGAAAGUGGUAGAUUGUAUUCACAAACCACUAAAGAUGUACUGUGAUAACCAGCCCGCAGUAUUCUAUGCUCACAACAACAAAUCGAGUAAUGCUGCCAAAACAAUAGAGAUAAGGUAUUAUGUUGUGAAAGAUAAAAUCCAGGAUCAAACUAUAAGUCUCGAGCAUAUAAGGACAAAAGAUAUGCUUGCGGAUCCGCUAACGAAAGGCUUACCACCCAAUGUGUUCAAGGAACACUUAGCCGGCAUGGGUUUAAGGGAAAGCCUUAUGAUUCCUGGAUAGGCCCAAAAGAAACAGAAUUUGUUUCUGAACAUAACGUAUGUUGUAGCUGUAUGAUUCUAUCGGCAAUUAAGCUGUGACGAUGAAACAUGCUCUAUGUACCAAUAAGUGAUGAAACAAAUAAACUAGAAAGUAUAAAGUUAAAAGUAAAGUUGAGAUCAAGGGGGAGAAUGUUAGGUUGAUCUCUCUCUCUCUCGUUCGAACCCAACGGGUCGAACGGGCCCCUGACUCGCGCCCCGAUCGGGGGCGCCCAACCAAACCAUGGUUGGUGGGUCCCUGUGACCCGCGCUAUAUAAACAGAGGUGGGGGCCGGGGCACGACUUACGAGGUUAAUCGCUCCCACAAUCCCCACCUACAAUCCCUACCGAUCUAGGGUUAGCGCGGUGCUCAUGGGAAGCACACCACCGCCGCCAUCUCACUGCCAUCACCGCUGCCACAACAUCACCAUGGUUGCUGGUUCGAGCUCGCAAGGCAAGGCAGAAUGUAGGUUUACCGGAUCGAUCUAACCUAUCCGAUCCAAAGUGAAUCUAUCAGUAUCAUGCACUUGGGACUCGCAAACAUGCUUACGUGGCAGGCAAUUAAAGAAGAGAGAGACGGUUAUAGUAACAUAGGUAGAUACCGUAACAUAAUAAAUGUGAUACUACUAUGUGUUAUGCAUGGCAAUAAAUGAGACCAUCUAUGAUACUAAUCUAUAAUACUAUGCACUAUAAAAGUAGUAAUAUAGACUAGUAACAUAUGGAUGUUACUAGUCCAAGUUACUCACCACUAUGACCAGACUGCGACAGACACGACGCGGACCAGCUUCAGGAGGACGGCUCAGCUCCUGACACGAGCCCACCUGAGCCUUCCACGGCGGACGCACAAACAGAAACCGGCCGUCCGCGGAAUUAUUAAAUGCCUCUCUCAACUACCACCGCUCAAUAGCUACCUGUUGGCCAAAAUAUCCCACUCCCCCCUUGUUAGCACACACUGCAGUUUAUGGGCUAAAAACUACAAGCCACUACAAUGUCAGUCAUCAUUAAAGCUGAGUUUCUCUCAAACUUAAGACUGAGGGCCUGUUUGGUUCCAAAUAAUUAAGUCACCAACUUAUAAGUCGAAAAGUGAAAAAGUGACUUAUUUUGCCAAACAGACCCAACUUAUAAGGGCCUGUUUGGUUCCAAAUAAGUCACCAACUUAUAAGUUGAAAAGUGAAAAAAGUGACUUAUUUUGCCAAACAGACCCAACUUAUAAGUCACUCCAACUUAUAAGUCAUAAGUUGCUCCACCCCAACUUAAAACUUAUAAGUCACCCCAUUUUACAUGGGUCCCACCACCUUCACAUAAAAAAACAAGGUGGGAAUGUGUGGUCAGGUGACUUAUAAGUCAGGUGACAACCAAACACGCGUGACUUAUAAGUCACUGGUUUUAAGUCACCUGACUUAUUGGAACCAAACAGGCCCUAAGUCAUCCCCAACUUAUAAGUCAUAAGUUACUCCACCCUAACUUAAAAUUUAUAAGUCACCCCUUUUACGUGGGUCCCACCACCUUUACAUAAAAAAACAUGGUGAAAAGGUAUGGUCAGGUGACUUAUAAGUCAGGUGACAACCAAACAAGAGUGACUUAUAAGUCACUGGUUUUAAGUCACCUGACUUAUAAGUCAGGUGACUUAUUGAAACCAAACAGGCCCUGAACUUGGUAGCAAAAGGAACAACAACACCCAGCGCGACACCAAAUAUACAGUGUGAGAUGGAGAACGCAGCACUUUUUUCCCGCCACUAGAGCCUUUGUCAUACACUUCUUGCCUCCACCCGGAUCUGGUAGAGGAGAAAUGAAGCGUCAUUAAUGACAGAAUGAAAAAAGGAACAUAAAAAUAACAAUAAAUAUGAUAUAAAAGAUUCAGAGCAGAUGCAAGUUAUUCUGUAAAGCUACAGAGCUGAUUCAACCAUGGUACACCACUGAUUCAGCAAAAGUAAAAUCUGAUUCCCAACUCAAAAAAAACUAUAGAUAUUCAGAGCAGAUUCUGUAGAUAGAAAACUGAGAACUAUAAGGUACAAGAGUUAUUUAUUCAGAUCAUCAUCUUCUUCUUCUUCAGUCAACCAACCAAGGAACCAGGGAAGAUAAAUGGAUAGCUUAAAAUUAACCUCUUGUUCGGCAAACUCGUGCACAAGCUGUAGUCGAAGCCCAGAACAAAAUGAAUGUUUGGUGGUCUAUUGCAUUGGCCAUGCACGCAUUCAGUCAGUUGGUCAGUCAGCACCGUUAGAAGAACACGUUACGCUGGGAUGUCGUGAUCUAACGAGCAGUGCUCCAGACUCUUUUGAAAAUCGGGUUCAACUUACUAGCCACAAAUAGGUUCAUGUGCUCUGAUUUCAUCGUCAGCUACACCAAAAGUUAGAUAUAGGAAACCAAAUUAUACCGGCUAAAUAUUUAGUAUCAAGAAAACCACCAGAUAAUCUUUAAGAAAUAACAAGACUUCGAUUAAUAAAAACCAAAGCCAAUUCUUCAGUUCAAAGCCAAAAAGAGACAAGGCAGAUCAAUUCGCAACUAUUUCAAAUGCUGACCAAGACAACUUGGUAAUUUUAAUGCCAACAUGCACGGUAGCUAUUCAGCCCAAAUUCGAAAACUGACAACAACUUGCCAUCCAUAUCAACCUGAAGUAGCCACUCGUCAAAUUUGAAAACCAAGCCAAUUCUUCAGUUCAAAGGAAAACAGAGACAUGAGGCAGAUCAAUUGGCAACUAUUUCAAAAGCUGACAAAAAAUAAUGCAUAAUUUUAGACAGUAUGCAUGACAUUUUUUGCAAAUAUUUAUUAUAUAAAUUUGCCUCGGUGUGAACAUGUAACAUGCUGCCGAUUGCCCUGUUUUCUUGUACCACCUAAUUAUCAUUUUGACUGCAUAGUUGAAAUGAUAUAGAAGCUUUGGAUCUUCAGUUAGAUAAAUCACAAAGCUGACUAUCAACAAGCAGACCAGCACACUGGGCAAUAGGCGAAGAAGAUUUACAAGUUGUAUAUAUUUUGCUUGCAUGUCGCUCUAUCGCCAAGUUUGUCCUCCUAACUAGUCCACCCUGGUAGAAGACAGACUUCGUCAGUUAUUUUAACAUCAUGUAGGUGGUCUGGGAAUUACUGUUUUAUAAAAUUGGAAUGAUUAAUACUCACUACCAUUGUCCGCUUCUCAUAGAUUUCUUCACGCUCAAGAUCAAACUGGAGUUGCAUCGCAUGUACUGCCUUACAAAUAUGUGCAUCGGGCUUGCAGUCGGCAUGUAAGACUUCAACACGUGGUUCGCGCUCUCACUCCGUUGUACUUAUCAAGCAACAUGCCCAUGUUGUCGCGAACUCAUCCUUUUUUCAGCAUGUGAUUCACAACUUUACGGAACUCCGCUUGAAAGUAACUCUUCUUCGUCUACAGUGGUCCCAAGCUUUCCUUCGUCUUCUUUAGGACAUGCCAUUUGCACCACCGGCGCACAGUGUCUGGAGACACCUUGCUGAUUGCGACCUCCAUGGCCCUGUUCUGGUAUGCUCAAAAUGCAUAGCAUAGUCAGUUCUAUGUUUCAGAAGCAAAAUGUCAUAAGCAAGAUAAAAUAAAUAUAAACCUAAUGCUAUCACCUGUAGUAUUGUCCUGGGUGCAGGCCCUCCCGUCAUGCUCAGGAACUCAGCAAAAACCCAUUCAAAACUCUCAACCUACUCAUCUCUCAUCACCACACCAGCAUGGAUAAUGCUUUGGAAGUGAUUGUUUACUCCGAAAAACAAACCAAAUGGCAUGUCAUAUAAGUUGGUUCUGUAUGUUGUGUCAAAUGUUACCACAUCACCCAAGAACUGGUAUUGCAUCCUACUGAUUCCAUUUGUCCACAUCAAAUUCUUCACUCAGCUUUCACUGUUCGCGAGCACUCGACUUUCACUGUUCACUAGCACUUCGUCCUUUCAGCAUUUAGUCUGAUUUUGCCAUACCGGAUCCCAAAUCCAGUCUCCCACGAAUAGAGAUUGUAGAAGUCGUAUGCCUUACCAAGUGAGUCGAAGGUGAGGGUAACACUUCUAGUAGGUUCUUCGGCAUAUUUUCUUAUUGUCUGCUCCGAUGCACCCAUCCGAGGACACGGUGUCCUGUCCAGGGUGCACUUCCUAGACGCAACCUGAGAUUUUACAGUAAAAAAACAUUGGCAUUUUGCAACAAAAGAAAAAAAGGUUUCCCUGGUGACAUUUUUGUCUGUAUUUCCAAUAUUGAUCUCAAACAUGAGAUUUUACAGUAGAAAAACGUUGGACUCUUCAAAGAAGAAAAAAAAAAUCAUGCAUAUUCUCUCAUUCCUAUCAGGUUGUUCAUCGUUCCAGUAUUUUGAUCUCAAACCAGAUUUUUUUUUCCGUAACAAAGAACAUUGGGCUGUUCAAAAAAAAAAAAAAAUCCUGCAUGUUUUCUCAUUGCUUACAAGUUUUGUCAGGCUUUCAGUAUUUUUUAUCUCAAAACCUACAUGUCUGCCAACGUCUCGCGUGCAAGGUUUAUAAUUUAUGAAAAAAUGGAAUUAGUUUCAGCUCACCUCUUCGUCCACCAAGGGGCCUCUGGGUUGACCCGGUCAGUUAAUGUUCUGAAGCAGUGGGGGAUGAAUCUUGACGCCCGUCGGUCGCCGCAGUUCGGUGGCUACGGGCCACACCCCCAACAUUCUGCACGCUACCAGAGUCAACAUUUUGUUCUUGUUCACUAGUCGGAUCCGCUAGCCCAGCAGUUAACAACGCAAGUGGCACUGGAUCUAGGUUUUCCAAACUACUAUAUCUGCUAACUCUUCUCCAAGGGGAAAACAUGCAGAAACACACGCCAUUUGCAUCAGCAAAACUUAUCAAGAAAUAAGAUCCGCCAGGCCGCCAAUCUACUCAAACAUCGGACAAAGCAGGGAUUUUACUGGUACACGGAUCCACUUACCGGCCCUGGAUGGCAUCUAGCAGGAACUCUAAACCACCGUCCUCCAUCGAUCUGACUCCGGCGAUUUAAGCAGCCGCAUCGGUGCGACAGAGUGGGUCGGGGUGGUAUGAUUGAUUUGUUCAUGUUCUUUUUUUGAGAGAGAUUUGUUCAUGUUUUUACCCCAAAGCUCACCCGACAUUAGUGGCUAAAUCGUUAGUUACCCGAACGGCUCAGCUAUAUCGCGACGUCCUGUACGGCGCUCCUGUUCCUGGAUCUGUGUGUUUGGUUCUUGUCCUCGCACAAAGGUGCCUGGCCUGGAGGGGUGCCUGAAAGUUGCCUGGACCUUGUUCGGUUGCUGGCCUGGUGAUCUUUCUGCUAGCCUGGCCUGGACGGACGUACAACGGUGAUUAGCCUGGCCAACAUGCAGGCACACAAUUAACCUGACCCAGGCUACGUGGAAGGGAAGCCUGGACACAAAAUUUGAGAUGCCUGGCCAUCCAUUUCCCCGACAAGUAUUUCCGGACGGAGGGAGUGCAAACAAAGGGUUGCAGCAAUUAAAGAACUAGGACCUGGCAUAGUACUAGUUUAAUAGUCGUUCACGCCCAGGAAGCGAACCAAACGCCUUCUCGCUCAGGCAGCCUGGUCAGGCAAUAUCCGCCCGCUUUUCAGGCACAGGUCAGGCAUUUAUUUUUGCCUGGCACAGAGACUAGGUCACGAACCAAACACCAACGAUCCCAGCCACGGAUCAUAUGCGCGUACUCCGCCAGGAGGUCCCCCGUACGCUUCGGGCCCGCCCAUGCGACACAGUUCUGUACAGUAUUGCAUCGGUAAGUCAGAUUUCUGGAUUUACUACGUUCCCUGACACAUGAAUUGUUCACAUCCCGAGACAACAAUAGACUGCCGCGACUUCAGGUGCAGCUGAGCCCAGGCACCAAAUCGCCGCGUCCCGCGCAUGCCACUCUAUUUUACCUUUAUCUGUUGAAGCGGCCAAGAAUUGCAACUCCUUGCUGAUCAAUUUGUCCAAGCCCAAGUAGAGCCCAUGAUGUGUCAUUUUUAGGUCCAGCAAAUACUACAAAAUUUUCAUCAGAUGCCUUGUCCAUCCGGCUUUCUUCCCUCUAUCUGGAAGACUAAGUGCACGAUGAAGCAUCUUCACUUGACUGUUGAUGGUGGAUCGUUUGAACGCCAGGGACAUUCUUCGUUGUAGGCAUUAUAUAAUUGGUGAUAAUUUUUCUUGCCUACCAUGUCAUCCAUCUGCUGAUGAGACACGUAAUCGCGCAUUUUUUUUCAAUGUCCAUCCAGCCAAGUCUGUUGGGGUAUCCUUGGUAAUUUGACCUAUAUGCUUGAUGUGGUUGAUUCAGUCAGGUUAGGUCCUUUGUUCAGUGAGAUUGUUUUUGGGGCCCUGGAACAUUUGAAAUAUUAGAAAUGGUGCAUACUUUGAUGGUGUGACCCUGGCCAUAGCUCCUGGCUUAGGCAGCUUUGUGUUAAUCUCACUAAACGUGGGUUUAGGGUUAAACCUGAGCACAAAGCUUUCUUGUAUGCUUUCAAAGGCAAUCUUCACUACUAUUGUAAUCUCUCCUUCCCCAAUAGGUCAAAAUUGUCCUAGUUCUUUAUAAAUAUAUAUUCUCUAUUUAAUAUAGGACAAUAGGAGCCUCUCAUGUUGUUUUAUCUGGUCAAAAAAGGCGAAUGGAGAUCACUCGAAAUAACUCUGAUAGUUCACAAUGCCGCAUGGAAUACAUUAUCCUUCAUUCCUGAUUGUAUACUUGUAUAUGAAAAAGUACUGAAAUAUGGUAAUUUUUGUUGUCUCAUUACAUGACUGACUACCAUGUGUAAACAAUCAAGAUACAAACUUUGAAGCCCAACUCUAUAAUCAUACACUAUGGCACAUAUUUGAGAUAUGCAUGGUGCGCGGUGGCGCGUCCGUGGUGGAGCAGUGGCUGUUGUGGCAGCAGGCCUGUCUGUCAGCUGGAUCAGGCGGAUCUUGACUUGUCUUGGACUUGGUGCCAAUGUUGGCACGUCCUUGCAUCAUUACUUUGAGGAAGGCGUCGUUCCCGAGACUUGAUCUUUUGGCCGGAGCACCUAGUUUGUGGUGAUGUGGCUAGUUUGAAGCUGUCGGUGGCCUGAUGUGUGUUCCCAUUAGGGCCGGCCGACGAUGGUGGGUAGUUGGAGGACUCUCGGCACAUGGCGGCAUCUAUCAAUCGUCCUCUCGGAACCAGAGCGGCACAUGUCCACUCCUCUUUGGAUAUGUCCUCUCUCUGAUGUCGAUGAAGUCGUCAAACAUGCUUGUGGCGGACAAGGCCAAUGUGGUGGAAAGAUGCACUUGAUGGAGUUGCAGCGGCAUUCUCGGGUCAUGAGUGCGAAUAGCGAUGUAUGUUGACGCUGCUUUCAUCCGUGACGUGCUUUUACGUGUAUUGUGUUUUCUCGGCCUUUUGAUAUUUUAUAUUUUGUGAUACUUUAGAGCUAGUUUAGUUAGAUGGGUGUGAUCUUUGUAGUACAUGUUUUCACCAAGUUAAACGGAGGAGUUUUCUUUGUCCGCAAUGAAUCAUGAAUUUUACAAUUAUUUGAUACUUUUAAGGAGGCAACAUCAUCAUUCUCUUCAUCAAAAUCGACAUCAUCAUCACUCUUGCCAUCAUCAAUAUUAUCACAAGAUAUAUUGGGAUUUAAAGUGGGAGAUACCUUUGAAGCCUUGGCCAUAAGGCAAAAAGCAAUAGAUGAUGAUGUGGGAUCCCUUGAAGCACCCUUCAAGACCACAUCUUGUUCCAUGGAGUGUUGGGUUUCCUCUACAUUGUUAGCACAACAAUUCGAGGAAAUAGAUACAUUUUCAUCAUGGCAACAAGACAUAGCAAGCAUAUCAUCAUGAGAUUUGAGCAAGCAAUUUCUACAUGAUAUGCAGGAACUUUUAACACAAGCAUGUGAAAUAUUUAGAGUGCUCGAAGUGUUAAAGUCCAAAGAAGGACCAUUGCAAUAAGAUAGUGAUGAAGAAUCACCAAGAACAAGCACACUAUCAUCAUUGCAAUGACCACCACUACUCACCCUAACAUUACCUUGUGGCAAUCCACAUAUAGGUGAAGUAGAAGAAGUUGAGAAGGCAACACGGCCGGAGGUGAAGGGAGAACAAUCAUCCCCACAAAUCUUGGACACACCAUAUUUAUCUUGAAGCUUUGUCCAUAACUCAUGAGCAUCCCGGAACGGCAUGAGUUGAAAUAUAACUACAUUGCUCAAAGCAUCGAAAAGCACAUUAGAAGCUUGAGCAUUGAGAUAAGAGUUUUUCUCAUCCUCUAAAGAUAAUCUUUGGGGAUCCUUUGGAGGAGAAAAACCCAUAUCUACAAUUCGCUCUAAAUUUGGGUCCAUGACCCUAAAGAGAUUAAGCAUGCGAAUAACCCAAACAUCAAAAUUUGUGCCAUCGAAACUAAGAGUGACAGAGAAUCCUAAUCCCCUAGUCGACAUCUUUACUCUCUAGGCGGUUAAGCCUAACAAAGAGAGACGAGGCUCUGAUACCAAUUGAAAGAUCGUGGAUGUCGCCUAGAGGGGGGGUGAAUAGGCGUUUUAAAAUAAUUACGAUAUAGGCUUGAACAAAUGCGGAAUAAACCUAGCGGUUAAUUUGACAAGCACAAAACCUACAACAACUAGGCUCACCUAUGUGCACCAACGACUUAUGCUAAGCAAGAUAAACAACUAAGUGAUAGCAAGAUAUAUGACAAGAAACAAUAUGGCUAUCACAAAGUAAAGUGCAUAAGUAAAGGGUUCGGGUAAGAGAUAACCGAGACACGCGGAGACGACGAUGUAUCCCGAAGUUCACACCCUUGCGGAUGCUAAUCUCCAUUUGGAGCGGUGUGGAGGCACAAUGCUCCCCAAGAAGCCACUAGGGCCACCGUAAUCUCCUCACGCCCUCGCGCAAUGCAAGAUGUCGUGAUUCCACUAAGGGACCCUUGAGGGCGGUCACCGAACCCGUACAAAUGGCAACCCUUGGGGGCGGUCACCGAACCCGUACACUUUGGCAACCCUUGGGGGCGGUCACCGGUACCCGUCAAAUUGCUCGGGGCGAUCUCCACAACCUAAUUGGAGACCCCGACGCUUGCCUGGAGCUUUACACCACAAUGAUUGAGCUCCGAACACCACCAACCGUCUAGGGCGCCCAAGCACCCAAGAGGAACAAGCUCAAGGGCACCAAGCACCCAAGAGUAAUAAGCUUCUCAACUUGUAACUUCCACGUAUCACCGUGGAGAACUCAAACCGAUGCACCAAAUGCAAUGGCAAGGGCACACGGAGUGCCCAAGUCCUUCUCUCUCAAAUCCCACCGAAGCAACUAAUGCUAGGGAGGAAAAAGAGAGGAAGAACAAGAAGGAGAACACCAAGAACUCCAAGAUCUAGAUCCAAGGGGUUCCCCUCACAUAGAGGAGAAAGUGAUUGAUGGAAAUGUGGAUCUAGAUCUCCUCUCUCUUUUCCCUCAAAAACUAGCAAGAAUCCAUGGAGGGAUUGAGAGUUAGCAAGCUCGAAGAAGUUCAACAAUGGGGGAAGAACACGAGCUCAAAAGAUAAGGUUCAUUGGGGAAGAAGACCCCCUUUUAUAGAAGGGGAAAAAUCCAACCAUUAUGUGCUCAGCCCGCACACGAGCGGUACUACCACUCCACGAGCGGUACUACCGCUCUGGCGGAAGAAGCAGGGAAAAGGAGCAACCAAACAUGAACCUUGGGGCGGUAGUACCGCUUAUAAGCGGUACUACCGCGCACCCCAGCGGUACUACCGCUGGAGGAGCAGAACACGGGACCAAAAAUGCAGUAGCGGUACUACCGCCCGACCGGAGCGGUACUACCGCUUAUAGGCGGUACUACCGCCCAUCAGGGCGGUACUACCGCUUAUAGGUGGAACUGCCGUGCCUUACUGCCGUGCAACUACUGCAAAACUCGACACGAAAAAUGCAAGACCCAAAAUCGAGGCGGUACCAGCGCGGAACCGUAGCCGUACUACCGCUUAUGGCCAUAGGCGGUACUACCGCUUGGGGCAAUAAGCGGUACUGCCGCUCUGGCCGCGGUACUACCGCUAGGAAACCAAAACUGCCAUAACUUCUGCAUAUGAGCUCCGAAUUGAGCAAACCCAAGCUUGUUGGUUAUAGUAAGAAGAGGCAGGGGAGGUAUGCCAAAAAAUAGAGGAGUGAAACCUCCAACCGAGAAGAACCGGCAUAACCUCCAACAUCGAAAACAUCAUAGAAGAUGCGAGUGAACUCCGUUUUCGAUGAACUCGAGCUUGUCAUCAAGAUGACCAUAAGCUCCAAAACUCACAAAGAGAAGAACCAAACAAGAACCAACAAAGAUGAUGCAAGGAUGCAAUGGUUUGAGCUCUCUAUGAACGAUACGAUCAAGCUACUCAUUGAGAGCCCCCCUUGAUAGUACGGCAAUCGAUCCUAUAACCCGGUCUCCCAACUACCAUCAUGAGACCGGUAAAAUAGAAAACCUAUCAAGAGCAAACCAUUGCCUUGCACAUGGUCCACUUGAGCUAGAUGAUGACGAUCUUGACUCCCUCAAGUUGGACCACCUUUCUUGGUUGUGUUGACUCGAUGAAGACUAGUUGAUUGCUCCCCCAUACUCCACUAUGGGUGAGCCACUCUUCCGCACAUCUUCACCAGUCCAUUGUCACCACAAUGGACGGCAAGCUUCAAGCAUUUGAUCUCGUCAUGAUGCUUUACUUGAACUUGCGCACCGCAACAUCUUCACAAGUCCAUUGUCGCCACAAUGGACGGCAAGCUUCAAGCAUUUGAUCUCUUCAUGAUGCUUCACUUGAACUUGCACACCGCAACCUAACCCCACAAAGAACUCUCACGAAGAUCAUGGGUUAGUACACAAAGCGUAAUUGACAAUGCUUACCACACCAUGGGAUCGCUUGAUCCCUUUCGGUACAUCUUGUGCGCUUUGUGUGUUGAUCAACUUGAUUCACUCUUGACUUAGUCUUGAUCAACCUUGACUCUUUCCAACUCUCUUCAUUUGGAUGAUGUCUUGAAGGUAAACAUGAAUGAUCACACAAUCUUCUUCUUCAAGACAUGCUUGCAAUAACUUCUACUUUCACAUGACCAAUCUUUGGAUAAUUCCUUAAUAACACCUUGGUCACCACAUAAACUCCUUGAAACCAACACAUGGACUUCAAGAAAUGCCUAUGGACAAAUCCUUCAAAUAUAACUCAAGGCAACCAUUAGUCCAUAGGGAUUGUCAUCAAUUACCAAAACCAAACAUGGGGGCACCGCAUGUUCUUUCAACCUAGUUUGUGGUGAUGUGGCUAGUUUGAAGCUGUCGGUGGCCUGAUGUGUGUUCCCAUUAGGGCCGGCCGACGAUGGUGGGUAGUUGGAGGACUCUCGGCACAUGGCGACAUCUAUCAAUCGUCCUCUCGGAACCAGAGCGGCACAUGUCCACUCCUCUUUGGAUAUGUCCUCUCUCUGAUGUCGAUGAAGUCGUCAAACAUGCUUGUGGCAGACAAGGCCAAUGUGGUGGAAAGAUGCACUUGAUGGAGUUGCAGCGGCAUUCUCGGGUCAUGAGUGCGAAUAGCGAUGUAUGUUGACGCUGCUUUCAUCCGUGACGUGCUUUUACGUGUAUUAUGUUUUCUCGGCCUUUUGAUAUUUUAUAUUUUGUGAUACUUUAGAGCUAGUUUAGUUAGAUGGGUGUGAUCUUUGUAGUACAUGUUUUCACCAAGUUAAACGGAGGAGUUUUCUUUGUCCGCAAUGAAUCAUGAAUUUUACAAUUAUUUGAUACUUCUUUCGUCCCAAAAUAAGUGUCUUGAUCUUAGUACAACUUUAUACUAGAGUUAAUACAAAGUUGAGACACUUAUUUUGGGACGGAGGGAGUACUUUUCAUAUAAAAUAGAUGCUUGUUCAAAAGCAAUCUAUGAGUUUGAACCGCUUUACAAUAAAUAAACGAAUAUGUAUAUGGCAACCGUGUGGCAGAUUGCGAAACUGCCACACGCAUCCAGCGCCGUCAGUUCCCUCCCGAUCUCCUUUCUUUCCCGCACGUCCUCCCCGACCGACCUCCCCUGAUUUCUUUCCUUUCCCGCACGCCCUCCCCAAUUUUAUCGGGCACACCCGCUCGUGCCUUCCUAAUUUUCGUAAUCGUCAACUAUGGCCCCACGCGCCUUCCCGAUUUUCGGGCAAAAAUAAUGCUUUGACUAGGAUUUGAUCUCUGGUCUGCAGGUAAUCAACAAAGGGAGCUAACCACCUCACCUAUGACACUCAUUGUUGAACAAGCUAAGGGGAAUACUGUUUUUGACAUGUUUUUUCCUUUAAUAUGUUAGCACUAAAAAACUCUUUUGUUUCAAGCAUCGUGGUAACUUUGAUCAUUGGGAAUAAAUUUGUUGNNNNNNNNNNNNNNNNNNNNNNNNNNNNNNNNNNNNNNNNNNNNNNNNNNNNNNNNNNNNNNNNNNNNNNNNNNNNNNNNNNNNNNNNNNNNNNNNNNNNNNNNNNNNNNNNNNNNNNNNNNNNNNNNNNNNNNNNNNNNNNNNNNNNNNNNNNNNNNNNNNNNNNNNNNNNNNNNNNNNNNNNNNNNNNNNNNNNNNNNNNNNNNNNNNNNNNNNNNNNNNNNAUAACAUUCACGCCAUAGACCUGAUAAUUUAGAUACAAACAUCGUGGUAACUUUAACCAUUGGGGAAGACAAAUGUGAAAAGAUACCCGAUAAUUUAUGUGUAAAUAGAUGGUAAUAUACGCAGCGCACAUAUGAUAACUGAGGUAGAAACACCAUGGUAACUUUGACCGUAGGGAAUAUUUUCUUUUUUGGAAAAGAUACUCCGGUAUCUUCUGUGUAAAUAGCACGGUAGUAUACCUCCUUCCCCUGGCAUUUUUAUGUGUAAAUAGCAUGAAAACAUAUGCACUGCGAUAACUAAACACCAUGAUAAGUUUUUGACCGAGGAGGGUGGGGGAUUUGCUGAAACAUACCCCUGAUAAAAUUUGUGUAAAUAGCAUGAUAUUUUAAGUACUACGGGCUUGAUAGGUUACCUAGAAUCACCAUGAUAACUUUUUGUCCCGGGAAAAAGUUGUUCAAAACAUCCCCAAUAAUUUUUGUGUAAAUAACAUGAUAAUAUAAGCACCGCAUAACCGAUAACUUGCAAUAUAAACAUGAUGGUAACUUUUUUACCAAAGGAAAAUAGUUGUUAAAAACAUACACUCGCCUCGCGUGUGGGCCUCUUGGAUGAACACAACACAUGGCGUGCCACGGGAAAGUCACAUAAUGUUUAGUGUCAUGAGGGGCACACGUGCUAUAGGCGUGAUAAGUUAUGCAAAAACAUCAUGGUAAUUUUUGACCUAUGGAAAAAGCUACCGAAACACACCUAGGUUUUUAGGUGCAAGUACCAUGAUAAUAUACGAACUGUAGACCCGGUAACUCAUGUACAAUCCCCCAUGGUAACUUUGACGGGGGGAGGUUGAUGUACAUACACACUGAUAACUUAUGUGUAAGUACCACGGUAUUUUACGCAUCGAAGACCUUAUAACUUGUGUACAAAACACAGUGGUAACUUUGAAGGGGUGUAGUUGUUGAAGCAUAGUACCUGGUACGUUCUAUGUAAAUAGCACGGUAAGUUACGCAACACAGGCAUGAUAACUUGCAUACGAAUACCAUGGUAACUUUGUCCUGAGGAGAAAUCAUGUGGUAGACGUGAAGAAGUGGCAGUUUUCUUGGGGAUGGGCGCGCGAGAUGUGCGGGAAAAGCAGGUUUCUCAGGCGAGCCUGUGGGGUCGUUUGGGAGGAGGCGAGGUCAAAGGACGAGGGAUCGUGUGGUACUUUAAAAUGAAAGAAGUAGAGGUGUGGCAGUUUUGCUUAUAUGGCACACGUGUGCCAAAUAUCACAGUCCAUAAAUAAAUCAUAAGAUUUCAUCUAUUUUUUUAAGUUGAAACUUCAAAAGGUUCGACUUGAAAGUUGAAAAAAAAAGGAUUCCCCCGAGCGAGCAAAGAAGAGACAGGGGCACGAUCGAUCCCAACAAGGCCACACAACCCACAACCACUCUCGCCCUAGCACCUUCGCCGGCGGCGGCCUAUCUCUCUCGUCCCCUGCUCUGGCCCUUCGCCGGCAGCCGGCGGCCUAUUUUCUCCUCCGCCGACCGGAUACAAGCCGCACCGUCAGUCGCUCAUCCUUCGCCUUGCCAUUAAUUUUUUUCCAGAUCUGAGCUUAUUAUUCCUCCUCCACGCCAUAUAGCAGCAGACCUUCCCUGCAGGUCUGAUUUGCCGAUGAAUGUCCUGCUUCCUCUUUGUGCUUGAUUUUCAUCCAUACGGUUAGUGUAGAAGUAUUAUCUAUCAGUCUAUGGUGCUGGGUGGAUUUACGAGAAACAGAAAUUUCGAGCCGAGAGAACAUAUGCUACCUAGAUUGAAUGGAAACGGUGAACCAGAAAUUUCGAGCUUGAAAAAGAUACAUCACAUAUCUUUAUGAGUACCUUAUCCAAAUAAUUUACUAGAUAAUCUGAGAUGAAAUCUUAUUUUCUUAAAAAUCAGAAUUGCUCUGUUUCCCCGAUGAGUUUAGGUUAAUGUAACUCAGCAGCAAUUCAUUCUUUUGCAAAAUCUAGAUAUACAUGAAAUCUAAGGAAUAUGAGUGAUUUAUAAAGUGAUAGGGGGUAUAAUAAAUUGAUUUAUUACUAGUAAUGAUACAUUUGUGUAGCAAAGUUCUUUUGUCUCUUUUAAGUCUCUUUGUUUCGGUUUUAUUUUCUCACAAGUGUCAGUUUUUCCUUUCAGUGACAGUAAGCUAACAUAAAGACAUGGACCUUCACAAGAAACUCACUGCUGUUAGUUUAACUGAUGAUCUAGUGGUUGAUAUCCUCUCCCGGCUGACGUACAAGUCAUUUUGCCGCUGCAAGUGUGCCUAUAAGGCCUGGUCUGCCUUUUCCUCUGACCCAGACUACCGCGAGAAGCUGCCCAAAAAAGUAACCACUGGACUUCUGUACCAAGGUCACAAUAAGUCUGCUAUCCCGCUUGUAAGCCUGUGCCCAGAUGAUGGGGAAAUAGACGGAAUUCUUGCUGAUGUGCCACACUAUGAGCAUUUAGAAUUCCUCGACUGCUGCAAUGGUUUAGUCCUUUGUAAGUAUAGGAGCAGCUAUACUUCUACAAACGUUUGCCGCUUCGUUGUGUGCAACCCAGCAACACGAGAGUGGAGGAUACUUCCUGAUACACAUCCUGGGACAGAUGACCCUCGUUAUGUAACUAUUUUGGCGUUUGAUCCAUCAUGGUCACCGCAGUUCUAUAUCUUCAAUUUUCAUCUGAAACGUGUCCAUGGUUUGAUACUUGGUACCAGCAAACUUGAGAUAUUCCAGUCUGAAAGUUCGACAUGGCUCGAGGAUGAUACCUUGGACCGAGAUAUAAAUAUUUCGGGGCGAACGCACUUAUUUGUUAAUGGAAUGUUGUAUGUGUCUGUUGGGUAUGAAGUUUUGGUGUUUGAAGGCCUGGAGGCAAUGAGUGAUGGCAUACCGCCCUAUCAUCAGACCAUAAGUUUGCCGCCUGAAGCUUCAUACCUGAGCACUUUUACCAAUGGUUGCUUUGGCAAAUCUUCAGGGAUCUUACACUAUGCAUUGCCACAUGAGAAUGGUCGCUCAAUUGUUGUGUGGACAUUGGAUGAUUUUGGUCAUCAUUCAUGGACUUGGACUAAGAUGUGUCAUCUUAGCAUGACCGAUGCGUUUGGAAAGGAUGAGUUUGUUCACUAUGACGAUGGUGGCGAUGGUGGUGAGGAUAAAUGGUUUUGGAACUGCGAUUAUCGGAUUGCCGACCUCGACUUGGAGAGAGGUUUUGUUUUCCUCCAUGACCAGAAGGCAAAUAAGCUUCUUUCAUACAAUAUCAGCGCGGGGAAACUCAACGAGAUACAAGACGCCUUUGGGUGGGAUCUAUACUAU